CAUGGAGAGUUUGAUCCUGGCUCAGGAUGAACGCUGGCGGUAUGCUUAACACAUGCAAGUCGAACGCCCCUUCGGGGGAGUGGCGGACGGGUGAGUAACGCGUGAGAA
rnacentral:rRNA from 1 species